GAUGAAGAACGUAGCGAAAUGCGAUACUUGGUGUGAAUUGCAGAAUCCCGUGAACCAUCGAGUCUUUGAACGCAAGUUGCGCCCGAAGCCAUUUGGUUGAGGGCACGUCUGCCUGGGCGUCACAUAUCGUUGCCCGAUGCCUAUUCACUGUGAUAGGAAAUUCUAGGGCGAAAGAUGGCUUCCCGUGAGCGUUGUUGCCUCGCGGUUGGUUGAAAAUUGAGUCCUUGGUAGGGUGUGCCAUGAUAGAUGGUGGUCGAGUUUGCACGAGACCGAUCAUGUGUGCGCUCCCCAAAAUAUGGACUCUUUGACCCCACACGCGUCUUUUGACGCUCAUGACGAGACCUCAGGUCAGGCGGGGCUACCCGCUGAGUUUAAGCAUAUCAAUAAGCGGAGGA
rnacentral:misc_RNA from 1 species